rnacentral:rRNA from 1 species
UAACGCGUAGGUAACCUGCCUUGUAGCGGGGGAUAACUAUUGGAAACGAUAGCUAAUACCGCAUAACAAUGGAUGACCCAUGCCAUUUAUUUGAAAGGGGCAAAUGCUCCACUACAAGAUGGACCUGCGUUGUAUUAGCUAGUAGGUGAGGUAACGGCUCACCUAGGCGACGAUACAUAGCCGACCUGAGAGGGUGAUCGGCCACACUGGGACUGAGACACGGCCCAG